CUUGCUUUCUUUUGCUGGCGACCGGCGCACGGGUGAGUAACACGUAUCCAACCUGCCCUUUACUCGGGGAUAGCCUUUCGAAAGAAAGAUUAAUACCCGAUAGUAUAAUGAUUCCGCAUGGUUUCAUUAUUAAAGGAUUCCGGUAAAGGAUGGGGAUGCGUUCCAUUAGGUUGUUGGUGAGGUAACGGCUCACCAAGCCUUCGAUGGAUAGGGGUUCUGAGAGGAAGGUCCCCCACAUUGGAACUGAGACACGGUCCAA
rnacentral:rRNA from 1 species